AUUGAACGCUGGCGGCAUGCCUUACACAUGCAAGUCGAACGGCAGCACGGGAGCAAUCCUGGUGGCGAGUGGCGAACGGGUGAGUAAAGUAUCGGAACGUGCCCAGUCGUGGGGGAUAACGUAGCGAAAGUUACGCUAAUACCGCAUACGAUCUAUGGAUGAAAGCGGGGGAUCGCAAGACCUCGCGCGAUUGGAGCGGCCGAUAUCAGAUUAGGUAGUUGGUGGGGUAAAGGCUCACCAAGCCGACGAUCUGUAGCUGGUCUGAGAGGACGACCAGCCAAACGGGGACUGAGACACGGCCAAGACUCCUACGGGAGGCAGCAGUGGGGAAUUUUGGACAAUGGGCGAAAGCCUGAUCCAGCCAUGCCGCGUGCAGGAUGAAGGCCUUCGGGUUGUAAACUGCUUUUGUACGGAACGAAAAGGUUUGGCCUAAUAAGCUGAGCUCAUGACGGUACCGUAAGAAUAAGCACCGGCUAACUACGUGCCAGCCGCCGCGGUAA
rnacentral:rRNA from 1 species